UGAAAGUGGAAAGACGUUCCCUCCAAGAUGCAGAUAUUUAAAGUUGUUCUCGCAGUAGGGUUGGCGUUCACACUUCUCUUUGGGUCGGCCUAUGGUGUGCGUGGAGGCAGAGGAGGAGGUGGUGUCAGAGGAGGUUCCAGAGGAGGCGGUGGCAACAGAGGUUGACACCACGGUUAAAAGAAUUGUAACUUCUCAUUCCUAAGACACUGUUGGACAUUGGACAGCAUUACUGGAACUGUAGCCUUGUAGGUUACCGAACCACCUUGUUCAUUGUCAACCUUCAGAAACUGGAAAAUAAAACGAUGACAAAUAA